GGUUCCCUAGUACUGCGAGUGAAGCGGGAAAAGCUCAAAUUUAAAAUCUGGCGGUCUCCGGCCGUCCGAGUUGUAGUCUGGAGAAGCGUUUUCCGCGUUGGACCGUGUACAAGUUUCCUGGAACGGAGCGUCAUAGAGGGUGAGAAUCCCGUCUUUGACACGGACCCCAAUGCUUUGUGAUGCGCUCUCAAAGAGUCGAGUUGUUUGGGAAUGCAGCUCAAAAUGGGUGGUGAAUUCCAUCUAAAGCUAAAUAUUGGCGAGAGACCGAUAGCGAACAAGUACCGUGAGGGAAAGAUGAAAAGCACUUUGGAAAGAGAGUUAAACAGUACGUGAAAUUGUUGAAAGGGAAACGCUUGAAGUCAGUCGCGUCUGCCGGGACUCAGCCUUGCUUCCGCUAGGUGUACUUUCCGGUAGACGGGCCAGCAUCAGUUUUGGCCGCGAGAAAAAGGCGGAGGGAAUGUGGCUCUUUCGGGAGUGUUAUAGCCCUCUGUCACAUGUCGCGGCUGGGACUGAGGACCGCAGCACGCCUUUAUGGCCGGGGUUCGCCCACGUACGUGCUUAGGAUGCUGGCGUAAUGGCUUUAAACGACCCGUCUUGAAACACGGACCAAGGAGUCUAACAUGCCUGCGAGUGUUCGGGUGGAAAACCCGUGCGCGUAAUGAAAGUGAAAGUUGGGAUCCCUGUCGUGGGGUGCACCGACGCCCGGACCAGACCUUUUGUGACGGAUCUGCGGUAGAGCAUGUAUGUUGGGACCCGAAAGAUGGUGAACUAUGCCUGAAUAGGGUGAAGCCAGAGGAAACUCUGGUGGGAGGCUCGUAGCGAUUCUGACGUGCAAGAGCGAUCGUCAAAUUUGGGUAUAGGGGCGAAAGACUAAUCGAACCAUCUAGUAGCUGGAUCCUGCGAGU
rnacentral:rRNA from 1 species